rnacentral:rRNA from 1 species
GACGAACGCUGGCGGCGUGCUUAACACAUGCAAGUCGAACGGAAAGGCCCUGCUUUUGUGGUGUUCUCGAGUGGCGAACGGGUGAGUAACACGUGAGUAACCUGCCCUUGACUUUGGGAUAACUUCAGGAAACUGGGGCUAAUACCGGAUAGGAGCUCCUGCUGCAUGGUGGGGGUUGGAAAGUUUCGGCGGUUGGGGAUGGACUCGCGGCUUAUCAUCUUGUUGGUGGGGGAUUGGCUUACCAAGGCUUUGACGGGUCGCCGGCCUGAGAGGGUGACCGGGCUCCAGAGGACUGAGAGACGGCCCAGACUGCUACGUGAGGCAGCAGUGGGGAACAUUGCGCAAUGGGCGGAAGUCUGAUGCAGCAACGCCGCGUGCGGGAUGACGGCCUUCGGGUUGUAAACCGCUUUCGCCUGAGACGAAGCGUGAGUGACGGUAAUGGGUAAAGAAGCACCGGCUAACUACGUG